CGGAGUGCCGUGUGUCGCCGACCCGAGUGAGGGGCCAGCGCCACAUCGGCCCCCCUCAGCCGCACCCCACACGCCCCCCAGACAGGGGGACGAGCCGUCCUGCCGUCCCCUCGCCCCGCACACCUCCCUCCAUCCCUCCUCCACCUCUCCCUCCCUCAGUGCACACCUCCCGUCCCGGCGCUACCGCCCAAACUUCUUCCCGCCGCCCCCGCGCCCUAAAACCUCGCCGGGGAUUUACCCGCGUUCCCGCGCUGUUUCCAAACUCGGAGAGAUGGAUCAGAAGGGACAGAAGGAACCGGCAGCGCUUCAGGACACCCUCCUCCCACGGACGAGAGGUCACGCUACAAGUUCGCCUGACAGCCGGAAUGGGAAGAGUGUUUUUGGUUAACACCGUUAUUUUUCCUGAUGUUUCUUGGUUUUGGUUUUGUUUUUCUUUUUAACUGCUGUUGACCGGCUGCUUGGUUUGGACAAAAGUUGCACAAAUUAUCAGUGCCCCCUAGAAAGAAGAUUCAGAUGAAACAGUUCUUCAGAAGUUAAGGAGGAAAACAUCUUAGGAAACUCGACCUUUUGCUUCACUUUUUUUUACUUUUUUUUUUUUUUUUUUUUUUUUUUUUUUUUUUCAAGUUUCCAAAGAAAUGCGAGCUUCCCUUGAUCUCUAGGGGAAAAAAAAAAAAAUAGCCAUUGCCCUCCUGUACACUAGAUAUUUCUAAUUCGCUCUGUCAGGGUGGGACUAUGAGACGUUUUGGUGCAAAUUCAUUAUCUCUGCAAGACAUAACUUAUAGUAGGAACUGAAAAAGACCGUGGCAAUGGAUGAACAAUAGGGCUUCAGUUCAUCAGCAACAAAAGCGCUGGGGAAAUUGGUUGAAUUUCAGAGCACGUCCUCCUCAGCAGAGAGGGCUGGACUAGACCUUGGCCAACCCCCCAAAAAACUUGCAGAACCUCACAUACAAGAGUUCACUUUCUACUCUGGGGCAUAGGAAUCAGUGUGGAAAAACAAACAAAAAAAAUAAUGGCAGACCGAAGUCAGCUUUCUUCAUGUCUUUCCCGUUUACAUGAAUGGAAGAUUUUAAAAUAUUUUAGAGUCGUUGGAGCAAGAACACCACCAUGGAGCUAAGGGGCACUUUUAAAUAGGGAUGGCGAGGGGAAACACGUGUAUUUGUCGAGACCUGAAAGAACUUUUUCUGCUCCGUGGGGGCUUGGCCGUGGGAAUCUUUGUUUUGUCACCGGAGGCUCAACUCACCCCCAGUAUGUGGGGUAAAAUCUUUCUCUGAUAAAGGCGAAGAUAUAGCAUGGCUAGUGACCUAUCUUCCUGAGGAGAAUGGCUGAUUUGUCUUUGAAAUUAUUCUUGGAAUUAGACCAGCAUGAGAUCUCCUCUUCCAAACUGAGGAGUCCACUACUGAGAAUGAAGACCAGCAAUGCUUAUCGAGGAGCCUGGAGCCUGGGAACUGACAAGAAGUGCUGAAGGUCUGUCCAUCUAUCUGUCCGUCCCCGCAUGUCCACACUGCAGCUGAAGUCACUGGGAUGGUGGGACUGGUUGAUGUGCAAGGUUGUUACUGACAUACUGACAUUUAGCUGCCAUGGCUUCAUGGUCUCAAUGCCUUCCCUCCACUGACACAUUCAAGGGUACUUUACAGGUGCUGCAAAGAGCCAGUCAAAGACAAAUUGCAAAAAAGACAAUUAACUGCACCCAUUGCACUCCUGCGGGUGUUUGUUCCGGACUGCUGAUACAGCCUCCAGCUUAUUCAUUAAAUGAGCCAUUGGGACUGUGGCUUGCCCAACUCUGCUCCUAACAAUGCAGAUUUGUUUGUUUGGUCCACCCAUUUUGACAUGUCUUUUUAAUGCUUUGUUCUUUAACUGAGACUGUUUUAUCUUAAUCUCAAUGCCAGGUCAUUUGUGUCCAAUGAAAGAUCCUGAAGAACCCUGACAUUUGCCACACCAGUUUAAAUAUAAGCAUCUGCAGAUGAAAAACAGCACAAAACAUAAAAGAUGUACAAAGGAAAAAGAAAAAUGCAGAUAUUUACCUGUUUUGAAAUACAAUUGCUGAGAAAUAGAGUCUGCAGUGAAUAGAGCAAAGAAUAGAAUAGAAUAGAAGCAAAGAGACUGUGAUAAGCUUUAUUUUUGGGCUCGUUGAGCUUCAUUGAUCCUAAAGAAAAUAACACUUCUAAGUCUAUUGAAGCCUGCCAAAUUUUGGAAGACAACUGAAGUUGUGGUGCUUAUUAGAGUCAUGAUAUUAAAGUGUGUUUAUACAGAAAACAGCAAAUGUGUGUCUUUAUUAAGUGCUUUCCUACACUAGCCAUGCAGAAAUUGCUGAUGAUUGCUUAUUAAAAAAAAAAAAAAGCUUUACCUCUAAGCACAGCUGUAUAAAUUGAACACUGGUUUUUGGGAAAAGAGCACAUAGAAUAGAAAGUAUAAAAUGACCAGUUUCUAGUGUUGUGUGCUACAGGAACCUUUAAAACUUACUUUAUUGCUCUUUUAACAAUGAGGUCAGA